CCCUGCCAUUUGUACACACCGCCCGUCGCUCCUACCGAUGAAUGGUCCGGUGAGGACUCAGGAUGACCGCGGAUAAUGGCUUUUGCCAUUCCGAUGUUUUGUCAGAAUUUGUUCAAACCUUAUCAUUUAAAGGA
rnacentral:rRNA from 1 species